GACCGAGUGGUGCAGUGGCAACAUACUUGUAUCCAAUUAUGUAUCUAUUGGUGGUCUGUGAGAUAUCCCUGUUCAACUCAGGGCUGGGUCA